UGGGGGAUAUUGCACAAUGGGCGAAAGCCUGAUGCAGCGACGCCGCGUGGGGGAUGAAGGCUUUCGGGUUGUAAACCUCUUUCGCUAUCGAACAAGGCCCGCUUAGGGUGGGUUGAGGGUAGGUGGAGAAGAAGCGCCGGCUAACUACGUGCCAGCAGCCGCGGUAAUACGUAGGGCGCGAGCGUUGUCCGGAAUUAUUGGGCGUAAAGGGCUUGUAGGCGGCUUGUUGCGCCUGCUGUGAAAACGCGGGGCGUAACUGCGCGUGUGCAGUGGGUACGGGCAGGCUUGAGUGUGGUAGGGGUGACUGGAAUUCCAGGUGUAGCGGUGGAAUGCGCAGAUAUCUGGAGGAACACCGAUGGCGAAGGCAGGUCACUGGGCCAUUACUGACGCUGAGGAGCGAAAGCAUGGGUAGCGAACAGG
rnacentral:rRNA from 1 species